GAAGUUUUCAGAGAUGAGAAUGUGCCUUCGGGAACCGUGAGACAGGUGCUGCAUGGCUGUCGUCAGCUCGUGUUGUGAAAUGUUGGGUUAAGUCCCGCAACGAGCGCAACCCUUAUCCUUUGUUGCCAGCGGUCCGGCCGGGAACUCAAAGGAGACUGCCAGUGAUAAACUGGAGGAAGGUGGGGAUGACGUCAAGUCAUCAUGGCCCUUACGACCAGGGCUACACACGUGCUACAAUGGCGCAUACAAAGAGAAGCGACCUCGCGAGAGCAAGCGGACCUCAUAAAGUGCGUCGUAGUCCGGAUUGGAGUCUGCAACUCGACUCCAUGAAGUCGGAAUCGCUAGUAAUCGUGGAUCAGAAUGCCACGGUGAAUACGUUCCCGGGCCUUGUACACACCGCCCGUCACACCAUGGGAGUGGGUUGCAAAAGAAGUAGG
rnacentral:rRNA from 1 species